rnacentral:rRNA from 1 species
GCUAAAAACCUAGCCCAACAAAUAUGAAUUUUACUAAAUAAAUUUUUUCCUUUUAAUAAAUCAUUUUAACAUUCUAGUAGAGGAGAUUGAAAAACUUAUUGGAGCCAUAACGAAAGUACCGCAAGGGAAUGGUGAAAUAUAAAAUGAAAAAUUAUUAAGCAAGAAAAAGUAAAGACUACCCCUUGUACCUUUUGCAUCAUGGUUUAACUAGUCUAAUCAAGCAAAACGUAUUUAAGUUUGACUUCCCGAAACUAAGUGAGCUACUUCGGGGCAGCUAAAAGAGCGAACCCGUCUCUGUAGCAAAAGAGUGGGAUGACCCCCAAGUAGCGGUGAUAGACCUAACGAACUAAGUGAUAGCUGGUUACUCAAGAAAUGGAUCUAAGUCCAACCUGAAAAUUUUCUACUUAGUAUACCAAAACAUCACUUAAUUUUCAGCGUAAUUCAAAUAAGGUACAGCCUAUUUGAAACAGGAUACAACCUAAACUAAUGGAUAAGACCAACUAAAUUUACAAUCAAGUGGGCCUAAAAGCAGCCAUCUUUAAAAUAGCGUCAAAGCUUAAUUGUUAUAACGUCUAAUUACCCAACCCCCAUCUUAAUCCUUAAUUUAAUAAUGAGUAAUUCUAUAAUAUUAUAGAAAGUUUUAUGUUAAAACUAGUAACAAGAAGAAGACUCUUCUCUUUAAUGUAGGUGUAAAUCAGAAAGGACAAACCACUGAUAAUUAACGCCAUUGAAACUAAAAUAGAAACUCAUCAAGAAAAAUCUAUUUUCACCAACGUUAAUCUAACACAAGAACAUUUUAAGAAAGAUUAAAAGAAAAAGAAGGAACUCGGCAAAUGUUAACCUCGCCUGUUUACCAAAAACAUCGCCUCUUGACCCCAAUAAGAGGUCCAGCCUGCCCAGUGACCCUGUUUAACGGCCGCGGUAUCCUAACCGUGCGAAGGUAGCGUAAUCACUUGUUCUUUAAAUGUGGACUAGUAUGAAUGGCAUCACGAAGGUUAUACUGUCUCCUUUUUUUAAUCAGUGAAACUAAUUUCCCCGUGAAGAAGCGAGGAUAAAAAUAUAAGACGAGAAGACCCUAUGGAGCUUCAAACAAUACAGCACUUGCCCCCAAAAUUUAAGUUUCUGAACAUCUUAAUUCUUUGGAAAAUAUGACUGUAAGUUUUUGGUUGGGGUGACCGCGGAGCAAAGCACAACCUCCAUGUUGAAAGAAUUAUUCUAAGCUAAGAACUACCUGCCGAAGCAUCAAUACAUUGACAUCUAUUGACCCAAUAUAUUUGACCAACGAACCAAGUUACCCUAGGGAUAACAGCGCAAUCCACUUCAAGAGCUCCUAUCGACAAGUGGGUUUACGACCUCGAUGUUGGAUCAGGGUAUCCCAGUGGUGCAGCCGCUACUAAAGGUUCG